rnacentral:rRNA from 1 species
ACGGGUGAGUAAUACAUCGGAACGUAUCCUGGAGUGGGGGAUAGCCCGGCGAAAGCCGGAUUAAUACCGCAUACGCUCUGAGGAGGAAAGCGGGGGACCUUCGGGCCUCGCGCUCAAGGGGCGGCCGAUGGCGGAUUAGGUAGUUGGUGGGGUAAAGGCCUACCAAGCCGACGAUCCGUAGCUGGUCUGAGAGGACGACCAGCCACACUGGGACUGAGACACGGCCCAGACUCCUACGGGAGGCAGCAGUGGGGAAUUUUGGACAAUGGGGGCAACCCUGAUCCAGCAAUGCCGCGUGUGCGAAGAAGGCCUUCGGGUUGUAAAGCACUUUUGUCCGGAAAGAAAUCAUCGGGGCCAAUACCCCUGGUGGAUGACGGUACCGGAAGAAUAAGCACCGGCUAACUACGUGCCAGCAGCCGCGGUAAUACGUAGGGUGCGAGCGUUAAUCGGAAUUACUGGGCGUAAAGCGUGCGCAGGCGGUGCUGUAAGACCGAUGUGAAAUCCCCGGGCUUAACCUGGGAACUGCAUUGGUGACUGCAGCGCUGGAGUAUGGCAGAGGGGGGUGGAAUUCCACGU